AGGUGUUGGUGGAGAACAUGGCACAUCUGGUUUCAUCCUCCUUCCAUAGAGACUGAAGAACUUCCACAUUGCAAAUCUCUGGCAAAUGAUAGAAGUUGAAAUAUGAAGCUGUCUGGCUCAAAAGUUGGCAUCUGGGGAUACUAGUGACACAGUGCCUAGGGGAAAAGUCUGCUGUACAACUCAAGUGAUAUUAAAUGAAACUGAAUCUUCCAGCAACUUUCUCUGGAAUACUCUUUAAUUCUGGGCAAUCAGUUUGAGAUGGCUGAUUGGGUCAGAAGAGAAGUCUGUGACUAUGGAACUGAGCAGAUUUAAGCUUAAGGUUUCUUGUGUACCAUGGAGUCCAGUCACCAACAGGACACCAAAUCUCAGAAGCUGCCAGCAACAAGAUCACUUUCCAGGAGAAAUAUAAGCCACUCAUAUAGUCACCUGCUGGUAUAUUUUUGCUUGUUAAGCCUAAUUAGGAGUGCUAAUGAGGAUGGCAUUUGCUUGUGUGGACAAGCUAAGGAUGAAGCAGUCAAAGGAUAAGAAAGAAGGUGGUGACUAGAAGAAAAAGAUGUCAUAGGAGCCAGACUGUUAACAUAUUAUGGAGAGAGGCAACAGCAAGAGUUCUGCAGGACAUGGAAAGCAUGGCUGUCUCCUCAGGACAUGGGAUUCAGUGUUGAACAAGGCAAACAAGUUCCCUGUUCUCUUGGAAGAAUCUGGACAACAAACGAG